AACUCAUUUUAAUAGCGCUCUGCCCCGACUUGUAAUGUAAAAUUCAUUGCCAAUGGGGGCCUGGAUGCACGCCUCUUGGAACAGAGCAGCAACAAGGGUGAUAUUCCUGUUUGUCAUCAUGUGCUUCUCGCGCUGUGUGCAUCUUCAGAAUCACGCUUUUUGGGAAUGGAGUGCNAAGUGGGUGGNAAGUUUCAUGUAAAGAUAAACAUGANNUUGAGACCGGUAGCAAACAAGUACC
rnacentral:rRNA from 1 species